rnacentral:rRNA from 1 species
AGUGAAUAGAUACCCGGGUAGUCCUAGCCGUAAACGAUGGAUACUAGGUGUUAGAGGUAUCGACCCCUCUAGUGCCGAAAGCUAAACGCAUUAAGUAUCCCGCCUGGGGAGUACGACCGCAAGGUUGAAACUCAAAGAAUUGACGGGGCCCGCGACAAGCGGUGGAGCAUGUGGUUUAAUACGUCACUAACCGUAGAACCUUACCCAGGCUUGACAUCUGCUGAAAGUGCCUGAAAGGGUUACCCCUGUAUAGCAAUAUACAGCAGCAAGACAGGUGUUGCAUGGCUGUCGUCAGCUCGUGUCGUGAGAUGUUGGGUUAAAGUCCCGCAACGAGCGCAACCCUCAUCCGAUGUUGCCAGCGUAAAGUCGGGAACUCUUCGGAAACUGCCCGUGUAAGCGGAGGAAGGUGGGGAUGACGUCAAGUCAGCAUGGCCCUUACGCCUGGGGCGUACACACAUGCUACAAUGGGCGUUAACAAU